rnacentral:rRNA from 1 species
CGGGGGGCAGCAGUAGGGAAUAUUGGGCAAUGGACGCAAGUCUGACCCAGCCAUGCCGCGUGCAGGAUGAAGGCGUUAUGCGUCGUAAACUGCUUUUAUACAGGAAGAAACGACUCUUGCGAGAGGCAUUGACGGUACUGUAUGAAUAAGCACCGGCUAACUCCGUGCCAGCAGCCGCGGUAAUACGGAGGGUGCAAGCGUUGUCCGGAUUUAUUGGGUUUAAAGGGUGCGCAGGUGGUUUAUUAAGUCAGUGGUGAAAGACGGUCGCUCAACGAUUGCAGUGCCAUUGAAACUAGUAGACUUGAGUAAAGUAGAGGUGGGCGGAAUUGAUAGUGUAGCGGUGAAAUGCAUAGAUAUUAUCAAGAACUCCAAUUGCGAAGGCAGCUCACUUGGCUUUUACUGACACUCAUGCACGAAAGUGUGGGUAUCAAACAGGAUUAGAUACCCGAGU